UACGUAGGUGGCAAGCGUUAUCCGGAUUUAUUGGGCGUAAAGGGAACGCAGGCGGUCUUUUAAGUCUGAUGUGAAAGCCUUCGGCUUAACCGGAGUAGUGCAUUGGAAACUGGUAGACUUGAGUGCAGGAGAGGAGAGUGGAAUUCCAUGUGUAGCGGUGAAAUGCGUAGAUAUAUGGAGGAACACCGGUGGCGAAAGCGGCUCUCUGGCCUGUAACUGACACUGAGGCUCGAAAGCGUGGGGAGCAAACAGG
rnacentral:rRNA from 1 species